UACGUAGGGGGCGAGCGUUGUCCGGAUUCAUUGGGCGUAAAGAGCUCGUAGGCGGUUCGGUAAGUCAGGUGUGAAAUCUCCACGCUCAACGUGGAGGGGCCACCUGAUACUGCCGUGACUCGAGUCCGGUAGGGGAGUAUGGAAUUCCCGGUGUAGCGGUGAAAUGCGCAGAUAUCGGGAGGAACACCAGUGGCGAAGGCGGUACUCUGGGCCGGAACUGACGCUGAGGAGCGAAAGCGUGGGGAGCGAACAGG
rnacentral:rRNA from 1 species